AAGGAAAACAAACGUAAGAAAACAGUGUCUGUGCUGGUGUUAGGAUGCAUAAAGCUCAGUGGCUCUUCCCACUGCCUGUGACUGUAACAGGGGAGGGAUCUGGGGGUAGUGAGCAUCAAGAGGAGCAGUGAAGGGCUUUUAGGGGUUGCACUAAGUGAUUUGCUCUGCUGGGUGUAAGAGCAAAACCUGCCCAGAGGCCUGGCCUCACGAAGAGUUCCCUUUUGGUUUUAUUUCUCCUUUCAACACAUUGAUGUGGGUGCACUGGGGCACACGAGCACCUGACUGGCACCGCAGGAAGGUUAAGGGGUUCAGUGCUGGCAGCAGGAGUACAAACAAAUGUUCAUUUGCAAGACCUGCUGCCAUUUAAAGAAGUGAAACUUCCACGUCAACUGCUUUGAGGCAGAAGGGGAAGCUUGCCUGGUGCUGGCAGCUGCUUUGGUUUGCCUUGUGUUGUUCUGUGCACAGCUGUGCCUUCUCCCUUGGUCCCCAGGCCCCUCUCAGACAUUUCCUCUGUGGCCUUAACAUCUGUGGGUGACUUGCAAUCUCCUGACCUGCAGGGCCCAGCCAACAAGACACUUGCUUAUUUUAGCAGCUGUUUCAGCUUUAGGACAUUUUGGAACAUCACGGACUGCUGGUUGUUUUUUAUUUUUUGCUCCCAGGGACAAAUAUUAGCAGACGAAAAAGCAAGAAAUUAACCAUUUAAGAAUGCAGUAGCUCAUUCAGCAGUUCUGCCUACUCUGAGCUGCGGAUCACUGUGGCUGCAAUAAUUCAUCACUUUCCAAACCAGGUCAGAUCUACAGCCUUCCUCUUUAUUCUUUGGCCCACUUCUAAAACUUACUCAUAGUAGGAGCCAAACAUUGCUCACUGGCUCCAUCCCUGCUUCAAGGACAGGGCACUUGCUGCUUUUAUAUGUCACUUUGCCCAUCUGUUAAGUGGAACUAUUAAUACUCGCCUUCCUCACUGGAUGUUCCACAUAUCUGUAAGGCUUUGAAAUCUGCAGAUGACGGGCUUACAGAAGUGGAAAAUCCUAAUGAUGAUCAUGACAGUAUCCAAUCAAAGACACAAGGAUUUGACAACAUGCUUUUGUUAUUGUUUACUCCACUCAUGGGGAAGUGCUUGUUUCUUUUCCUGUCCAGCAUUUCCAACAGCACUCCCACAACUCUGGGAAUAUGCAUUACCCUUUUGGGGUACCAACCAGGAAAAACAAAAGCAGGAAGGAGGAAAAGCCAGCUUUGAAAAUCCUUGAUCCUUUGUUUCCCUCCUUUGUCUUCCUGCCUCACUCUGGCUCCUGUGUCACACAGCCCAAACACUUAAAGCUCUGGCACUCCAGAUGGGUUGCAAAACAUCUCAAAAUCCACAGGCCUGUGCUGGGAAAUGCUUAAAGCAAAUUGGAAUGAGGAUGCUCUGAACUAGAAGAGCCAUCACUAAGCAAUCCUGUUCCCAAUGGGCUGUUGGGGAAGCCCCCUAUUCUCUCAAAAGAGCUGAUUUUGGAGAGAGGAACCCUUUCGCGGCUACUCUUCUCCACCUCUGCAGCCCCAGCCUCACCUCCAUGUAGGGCCUCACAGCCCUAGUUGAGGAUUUUGGAAGUGGAAUGCCCUGCUCAUCUUCUGUUCCAUAUUCCAUCCACCCAGCCCUGGGUGAUGGGCAGAGCUGCAAGGACCCAGCGUGGGCAGACUCCCUUAAGCAGAGAGUGUGGGGGCUUAAGGAUGAUGCUGAGGCUAGCUGCUGCAGUGGGACUAAAGUGGGGUGGGUGUAACUUGUCAAGAAUGAUUCAUGUUUCUUUGAUGCAUUAUAGGACCAGAUUAGGCACUAUGGAUUAUAGGGACCUAUGUGGAAAUGUCCAAUGGAUAGCUGCUCUUCAGGAGUGAAUUGCAAGGGCACUGCCAUCAGUAUGGUGCACACAGUUUGAGAUCUGGAUUGCCUCUGCUUUUUUCAGCUGUUGCCCCAAAGGAAUAUGUAUAUACACACAAAACAAAUGCAGUUCUCACCACAUUGCUUCAAAAUGAAUGCAUGCUCCAAGAAGCUCGGAGUGCUUUUGGCAGACUUCAGUGUACUUUUCAGCAGAUGUUAUGGUGCUGCUUUUGAUCCAGAGAGGAAAUCCUUUCUGAUUUUGCCCAAGGUGAUGGCAGCAGACAGAAGAUUGUUACCUUGACUCACAGGUCCUGGGCUGAGCCCUGCAGUGAUGUCUGUGCCUCUCUGUCACUGCUGUUGGGAGGAGCUGGGGACAAAGUGCGUGCAGCAGCCGACCCUCCCCAUUGCACCGGCUGGCACUGGAAUGGAUACUGUGCUGGAAAACUUGUCUGGCUUGGUCUGCGUGUAUGGCUUUGACUUGAAGAACACCUUAAGCAGUGUGGAACAGCAACCGUGUUCAGGCUUUGAAUGUGAAACUGAAGAUCAAAACAGAGUGGCACAGAAAGGGCAAAUAAAAAGCUGUGGUAUA